GAAAUGCGAUAAUUAAUGUGAAUUGCAGAAUUCAGUGAAUCAUCGUGUCUUUGAACGCACAUUGCGCCCCCUGGUAUUCCGGGGGGCAUGCCUGUCCGAGCGUCAUUGCUGCCCUCAAGCACGGCUUGUGUGUUGGGCUUCCGUCCCUGGCAACGGGGACGGGCCCAAAAGGCAGUGGCGGCACCAUGUCUGGUCCUCGAGCGUAUGGGGCUUUGUCACCCGCUCCCGUAGGUCCAGCUGGCAGCUAGCCUCGCAACCAAUCUUUUUAACCAGGUUGACCUCGGAUCAGGUAGGGAUACCCGCUGAACUUAAGC
rnacentral:misc_RNA from 1 species